UGCCUCAGUAACGGCGAGUGAAGCGGCAACAGCUCAAAUUUGAAAUCUGGCCUCUUUGGGGUCCGAGUUGUAAUUUGUAGAGGAUGUUUCGGGUACCGCCUCGGUUUAAAUUUCUUGGAACAGAAUGUCAAAGAGGGUGAGAAUCCCGUCUUGGACCGGCGGUAGGGCCCAUGUGAAACUCCUUCGACGAGUCGAGUUGUUUGGGAAUGCAGCUCAAAAUGGGUGGUAAAUUUCAUCUAAAGCUAAAUAUUGGCCAGAGACCGAUAGCGCACAAGUAGAGUGAUCGAAAGAUGAAAAGCACUUUGAAAAGAGAGUUAAACAGUAUGUGAAAUUGUUGAAAGGGAAGCGCUUACAACCAGACUUGCGCGCGGCGGUUCCCCCUUCCUUUUGGUUGGGCUACUCCGUCGUGUCCAGGCCAACAUCGGUUCUGGGGGUCGGUUAAAGACCCUGGGAAUGUAUCUACCCUUCGGGCGUAGACUUAUAGCUCAGGGUGUCAUGCGACCUCCCGGGACCGAGGAACGCGCUUCGGCUCGGAUGUUGGCGUAAUGGUUGUCAGCGACCCGUCUUGAAACACGGACCAAGGAGUCUAACAUCUAUGCGAGUGUUUGGGUGUCAAACCCGGAACGCGAAAUGAAAGUGAACGGAGGUAGGAAGCCAUGAGGCUGCACUAUCUACCGAUCCUGAUGUCUUCGGAUGGAUUUGAGUA
rnacentral:rRNA from 1 species